rnacentral:rRNA from 1 species
AACCUGGUUGAUCCUGCCAGUAGUCAUAUGCUUGUCUCAAAGACUAAGCCAUGCAUGUCUAAGUAUAAGUAUUAUACAGCGAAACUGCGAAUGGCUCAUUAAAACAGCUAUAGUUUAUUUGACAAUCAAACUUACAUGGAUAACCGUAGUAAUUCUAGAGCUAAUACAUGCUGUACUGCCAACUUUUUGGAAGGCAGGUAUUUAUUAGAUAUUAACCAAUAUUCCGUAGGUCUAUCGUGGUGAGUCAUAAUAACUUUCGAAUCGCAAAGCCUUUGGCUGCGAUAAGUCAUUCAAGUUUCUGCCCCAUCAGCUUUAGAUGGUAGUGUAUUGGACUACCAUGGCUUUCACGGGUAACGGAGGAUUAGGGUUCGAUUCCGGAGAGGGAGCCUGAGAAACGGCUACCACAUCUAAGGAAGGCAGCAGGCGCGUAAAUUACCCAAUCCUGAUUCAGGGAGGUAGUGACAAGAAAUAACAAGCAGUAGCUUUUUGUUACUGAAUUGAAAUGAGCCGAAUUUACAACUCUUAGUGAGGAUCGAUUGGAGGGCAAGUCUGGUGCCAGCAGCCGCGGUAAUUCCAGCUCCAAUAGC